rnacentral:rRNA from 1 species
UACGGAGGGAGCUAGCGUUGUUCGGAAUUACUGGGCGUAAAGCGCACGUAGGCGGCUUUGUAAGUUAGAGGUGAAAGCCUGGGGCUCAACCCCCAGAAUUGCCUUUAAGACUGCAUCGCUUGAAUCCAGGAGAGGUGAGUGGAAUUCCGAGUGUAGAGGUGAAAUUCGUAGAUAUUCGGAAGAACACCAGUGGCGAAGGCGGCUCACUGGACUGGUAUUGACGCUGAGGUGCGAAAGCGUGGGGAGCAAACAGG